rnacentral:misc_RNA from 1 species
AAGUCGUAACAAGGUUUCCGUAGGUGAACCUGCGGAAGGAUCAUUAACACGUAUCCCCCGUGCAUAUUAACCCUACUCUAAGCAAUCUCUGGUAAAUCACACAGAACAGUUUGAUUCAGAGACUUCUUUGAAGACGUCGGGGAUCGAGCGGAGAGCAAAUAGACUUGGUUCCGAAAGGAUAACUGAUACGAUCGUUGGCCCUCACGGUCAACGGACAAGUCUCUGGGGCUUCGGCUCCCCUUCUAUUUAACCCCUGGUCGGGCUUGCAAACUACAGGCCCACAAAACGAACAACUGUUAACAAUGGAUAUCUUGGUUCUC